UGGCUGCGAAAAGAGUUUUAAUUUUUAAAGAGAGCGCAGAAAAUUAGCGCUCUCAGGCGACAGGCACAAAACGGAGAGAGACAAUUAUGUUUGAA
rnacentral:ncRNA from 2 species